CCCCAGGGUCAGCUGGGCUUCCCGACACGGACAGAAGCCCCAUCCCAGCCUGACCCCUAUGCUGAGGUGUGGAAGGUGGUGGUGCGCCCCCCUCCCGCCCCACAUGAAACAGGUGCCUUAAGCUGAGGCCCGGCGAGGGGGAGCGUGGGUUGGAGCCCCUGGAUCCCCGGUCCCAGCAAGUGAGCAAGGCCGGAAAGGGAUGCACAGGGUCGGCUCUGUCGGCUGGCCCGACCCUUCCACCCUCCUCCAGCGCAAUCCCAUAAGCUAGUCUGCUUGAGUCAGGGCGGGCAGGAGAAUUCUCCGUUGUGUGGUCUGGACCGUGCCCUGUAGGACAUUUAGCAGCAUCUGUGACCUCUACCCACUAGCACAGGGGCACCCCCAGCUGUGACAACCAGAAAUGUCUCCUGGCGUUGCUGAAUGUCUCGGGAGCAGAGCCGGCCCCCCUGGAGAGCGACUGUCUUACACGAGCAACACUCUCCCCUUCAAUCUCAAGUGCAUGCGCUCCAGGAGCUCGGUCUCGGAGCGGCUGUUAAGAACAUCUGCCCAGGGCGCCUGGGUGGCUCAGUUGGUUAAGCGACUGCCUUCG